UACGGGGGGGGCAAGCGUUGUUCGGAAUUACUGGGCGUAAAGGGCUUGUAGGUGGCCAACUAAGUCCGACGUGAAAUCCCCAGGCUUAACCUGGGAACUGCGUCGGAUACUGGAUGGCUUGAAUCCGGGAGAGGGAUGCGGAAUUCCAGGUGUAGCGGUGAAAUGCGUAGAUAUCUGGAGGAACACCGGUGGCGAAGGCGGCAUCCUGGACCGGCAUUGACGCUGAUGAGCGAAAGCCAGGGGAGCAAACGGG
rnacentral:rRNA from 1 species